AGAAGAAAAACCAAAUAGAGGUGAAUUUUUGUUAAUAAUUUUAUUGGAUUUUCCCUUCUUCUG
rnacentral:tRNA from 1 species